UACGUAGGCAGCGAGCGUUGUUCGGAAUUAUUGGGCGUAAAGGGCUCGUAGGCGGUCUGUCGCGUCAGGAGUGAAAACUCGGGGCUCAACCCCGAGCCUGCUUCUGAUACGGGCAGACUAGAGGUAUGCAGGGGAGAACGGAAUUCCUGGUGUAGCGGUGAAAUGCGCAGAUAUCAGGAGGAACACCGGUGGCGAAGGCGGUUCUCUGGGCAUUACCUGACGCUGAGGAGCGAAAAGUGUGGGGGAGCGAACAGG
rnacentral:rRNA from 1 species